rnacentral:rRNA from 1 species
AACUAUAACGGUCCUAAGGUAGCGAAAUUCCUUGUCAGGUAAGUUCUGACCCGCACGAAAGGCGUAACGAUUUGGGCGCUGUCUCAGCUGUAGACUCGGUGAAGUCUUAGUACCUGUGAAGAUGCAGGUUACCCGCGACUAGACGGAAAGACCCCAUGGAGCUUCACUGCAGGUUGAUAUUGGGAUUUGAUGCAGCAUGUACAGGAUAGGUAGGAGGCAAAGAGAUGGAUACGCCAGUAUUCAAGGAGCCGCUGUUGGGAUACUACCCCUGUUGUAUUGGAUUUCUAACCGGACGACGUAGAGCCGUUGACGGGACAGUGUCAGUCGGGCAGUUUGACUGGGGCGGUCGCCUCCCAAAGAGUAACGGAGGCGCCCAAAGAUACCCUCAGCUUGGAUGGAAACCAAGCGCAGAGUGCAAAGGCAAAAGGGUGUUUGACUGCGAGACCCACAAGUCGAGCAGGGACGAAAGUCGGGCUUAGUGAUCCGGCGGUGCUGAAUGGAAAGGCCGUCGCUCAACGGAUAAAAGCUACCCUGGGGAUAACAGGCUGAUCUCCCCCAAGAGUCCACAUCGACGGGGAGGUUUGGCACCUCGAUGUCGGCUCAUCGCAUCCUGGGGCUGUAUUCGGUCCCAAGGGUUUGGCUGUUCGCCAAUUAAAGCGGUACGCGAGCUGGGUUCAGAACGUCGUGAGACAGUUCGGUCCCUAUCUGUCGUGGGCGCAGGAUAUUUGAGGAGCGCUGUCCCUAGUACGAGAGGACCGGGAUGGACGCACCGCUGGUGCACCAGUUGUCACGCCAGUGGCACAGCUGGGCAGCUAAGUGCGGAAAGGAUAAACGCUGAAAGCAUCUAAGCGUGAAGCCACCUCCAAGAUAAGAUAUCCCACAGCGUAAGCUGGUAAGACCCCUCAAGGACUAUGAGGUUGAUAGGCUGCAUGUGUAAGUGUUGUGAGACAUUGAGCUUGGCAGUACUAAUAGGUCGAGGGCUUGACCAU